rnacentral:rRNA from 1 species
GACGAACGCUGGCGGCGGGCUUAACACAUGCAAGUCGAACGGCAGGGCCCUGCUUUUGUGGGGUGCUCGGGCGGCGGACAGGUGAGUAACGAGUGAGUAACCUGCCCUUGACUAUGGGAUAACUUCAGGGAACUGAGGCUAAUACAGGAUAGGAGCUCCUGCUGCAUGGCGGGGGUUGGUAAGUUUCGGCGGUGGGGGAUGGACUCGGGGCUUAUCAGCUUGUGGGAGGGGUAGUGGCUUACGAAGGCUUUGACGGGUAGCCGGCCUGGGAGGGUGAGCGGCCACACGGGGCCUGCGCCACCGCCCAGACUCCGACGGGAGGCAGCAGUGGUGAAUAUUGCACUAUGCGCGGAAUGCUGAUGCAGGAACGCCGCGUGCGUGAUUACGGCCUUCCGUUUGUAGGCCGCUUUCGCCUUGUAUGAAGCCUGAGUGACGGUAACGGGUAGAGUAGGCCCGGCUUACUACGUG